GACGAACGCUGGCGGCGUGCUUAACACAUGCAAGUCGAACGGGCCUUGUCCCCUUUUUUUUUGGGGGUGGGGUUAGUGGCGAACGGGUGAGUAACACGUGAGUAACCUGCCCCUCACUUCUGGAUAACCGCUUGAAAGGGUGGCUAAUACGGGGUGUUCUGGCCUGCUCGCAUGGGUGGGUUUGGAAAGAUUCGACCGGUUUUGGUUGUUUUGGUGGGGGAUGGGCUCGCGGCCUAUCAGCUUGUUGGUGGGGUGAUGGCCUGCCAAGGCUUUGACGGGUAGCCGGCCUGAGAGGGUGGGCGGUCACACUGGGACUGAGACACGGCCCAGACUCCUACGGGAGGCAGCAGUGGGGAAUAUUGCACAAUGGGCGCAAGCCUGAUGCAGCGACGACGCGUGAGGGAUGGAGGCCUUCGGGUUGUGAACCUCUUUCGCCAGUGAAGAAGGUCCUGCUCUUUGUGGUGGGGUUGACGGUAGCUGGGUUAAUGAAGCGCCGGCUAACUACGUG
rnacentral:rRNA from 1 species